UACGAAGGGUGCAAGCGUUAAUCGGAAUUACCGGGCGUAAAGGGUGCGUAGGCGGUUCGUUAAGUCUGUCGUGAAAUCCCCGGGCUCAACCUGGGAAUGGCGAUGGAUACUGGCGAGCUAGAGUGUGUCAGAGGAUGGAGGAAUUCCCGGUGUAGCGGUGAAAUGCGUAGAGAUCGGGAGGAACAUCAGUGGCGAAGGCGGCCAUCUGGGACAACACUGACGCUGAAGCACGAAAGCGUGGGGAGCAAACAGG
rnacentral:rRNA from 1 species